rnacentral:ncRNA from 1 species
CGCCUGUCGGGACCCGAAAGAUGGUGAACUAUGCCUGAGCGGGGCGAAGCCAGAGGAAACUCUGGUGGAGGCUCGAAGCGAUACGAGCGUGCAAAUCGUUCGUCUGACUUGGGUAUAGGGGCGAAAGACUAAUCGAACCAUCUAGUAGCUGGUUCCCUCCGAAGUUUCCCUCAGGAUAGCUGGAGCCCAUUACGAGUUCUAUCAGGUAAAGCCAAUGAUUAGAGGC